UACGUAGGGUGCAAGCGUUAAUCGGAAUUACUGGGCGUAAAGCGUGCGCAGGCGGUUUUGUAAGUCACUUGUGAAAUCUCCGGGCUUAACUCGGAACGGCCAAGUGAUACUGCAAUGCUAGAGUGCAGAAGGGGCAAUCGGAAUUCUUGGUGUAGCGGUGAAAUGCGUAGAUAUCAAGAGGAACACCUGAGGUGAAGACGGGUUGCUGGGCUGACACUGACGCUGAUGCGCGAAAGCCAGGGGAGCAAACGGG
rnacentral:rRNA from 1 species